CGCGUGGGAAUCUACCCAGAUCUUCGGAACAACUGAGGGAAACUUCAGCUAAUACCGGAUACGCCCUACGGGGGAAAGAUUUAUCGGUUCUGGAUGAGCCCGCGUUGGAUUAGCUAGUUGGUGGGGUAAUGGCCUACCAAGGCGACGAUCCAUAGCUGGUCUGAGAGGAUGAUCAGCCACACUGGGACUGAGACACGGCCCAGACUCCUACGGGAGGCAGCAGUGGGGAAUAUUGGACAAUGGGCGAAAGCCUGAUCCAGCCAUGCCGCGUGAGUGAUGGAGGCCUUAGGGUUGUAAAGCUCUUUCAGUGGGGAAGAUAAUGACGGUACCCACAGAAGAAGCCCCGGCUAACUUCGUG
rnacentral:rRNA from 1 species